AUUGAACGCUGGCGGCAGGCCUAACACAUGCAAGUCGAACGAGUGGCGGACGGGUGAGUAAUGUCUGGGAAACUGCCUGAUGGAGGGGGAUAACUACUGGAAACGGUAGCUAAUACCGCAUACCAUCAGAUGUGCCCAGAUGGGAUUAGCUAGUUGGUGGGGUAACGGCUCACCAAGGCGACGAUCCCUAGCUGGUCUGAUAGGAUGACCAGCCACACUGGAAAUGAGACACGGUCCAGACUCCUACGGGAGGAAGCGGUGGGGAAUAUUGCAAAAUGGGCGCAAUCCUGAUGCAGCCAUGCGGCGUGUAUGAAGAAGGCCUUCGGGUUGUAAAGUACUUUCAGCGGGGAGGCGUUACCCGCAGAAGAAGCACCGGCUAACUCCGUGCCAGCAGCCGCGGUAAUUC
rnacentral:rRNA from 1 species